UACGGAGGGAGCAAGCGUUACUCGGAAUUAUUGGGCGUAAAGGGCGCGUAGGCGAUUCGAUAAGUCUCAUGUGAAAUCCCAGGGCCUAACCCUGGAAUGGCAUGGGAUACUGUUGGAUUUGAGUUCCGGAGAGGAAGGCAGAAUUCCCGGUGUAGCGGUGAAAUGCGUAGAUAUCUGGAGGAACACCGGUGGCGAAGGCGGCAUCCUGGACCGACACUGACACUGAGGAGCGAAAGCCAGGGGAGCAAACGGG
rnacentral:rRNA from 1 species